AUCUAUGGCUAUACCACCUUGAACAUGCCUGAUCUUGCCUGAUCUCAGAAACUAAGCAGGGUUGGACCUGGUUAGUUCUUGGAUGGGAGACGGAGAUUAUGGAAGACGAGGAAUUAUUGAUA
ensembl:rRNA 5S_rRNA 5S ribosomal RNA